CCUACGGGCGACAGCAGUGGGGAAUAUUGCGCAAUGGGCGAAAGCCUGACGCAGCGACGCCGCGUGAGGGAUGAAGGUCUUCGGAUCGUAAACCUCUGUCAGCAGGGAAGAACGGUCACUGUGCUAAUCAGCAGUGAAUUGACGGUACCUGCAAAGGAAGCACCGGCUAACUCCGUGCCAGCAGCCGCGGGAAUACGGAGGGUGCGAGCGGUAAUCGGAAUUACUGGGCGUAAAGCGCUCGUAGGCGGUAUGUCAAGUCAAGGGUGAAAUCCCCGCGCUCAACGUGGGAACUGCCUUUGAAACUGGCAAACUGGAGUGUGUGAGCGGAUAGUGGAAUUCCAGGUGUAGGAGUGAAAGCCGUAGAUAUCUGGAGGAACAUCAGUGGCGAAGGCGACUAUCUGGCACAUAACUGACGCUGAGGAGCGAAAGCGUGGGUAGCAAACAGGAUUAGAUACCCCUGUAGUC
rnacentral:rRNA from 1 species